rnacentral:rRNA from 1 species
UACGGGGGGGGCAAGCGUUGUUCGGAAUUACUGGGCGUAAAGGGCUCGUAGGCGGCCAACUAAGUCAAACGUGAAAUCCCUCGGCUUAACCGGGGAACUGCGCUUGAUACUGGAUGGCUUGAGAUUGGGAGAGGGAUGCGGAAUUCCAGGUGUAGCGGUGAAAUGCGUAGAUAUCUGGAGGAACACCGGUGGCGAAGGCGGCAUCCUGGACCAACACUGACACUGAGGAGCGAAAGCCAGGGGAGCAAACGGG